rnacentral:rRNA from 1 species
GUGUCAGCCGCCGCGGUAAUACCGGCAGCCCGAGUGAUGACCGCUAUUAUUGGGCCUAAAGCGUCCGUAGCUGGCCACGCAAGUUCGUCGGGAAAUCUGCGCGCUUAACGCGCAGGCGUCCGACGGAAACUGUAUGGCUUGGGACCGGAAGACCAGAGGGGUACGUCCGGGGUAGGAGUGAAAUCCCGUAAUCCUGGACGGACCACCGGUGGCGAAAGCGCCUCUGGAAGACGGAUCCGACAGUGAGGGACGAAAGCUAGGGUCUCGAACCGGAUUAGAAACCCUGGUAGUCC